UACGUAGGGCGCAAGCGUUGUCCGGAAUUAUUGGGCGUAAAGAGCUCGUAGGCGGCUUGUUGCGUCGGAUGUGAAAGCCCGGGGCUUAACCCCGGGUCUGCAUUCGAUACGGGCAGGCUAGAGUUCGGUAGGGGAGAUCGGAAUUCCUGGUGUAGCGGUGAAAUGCGCAGAUAUCAGGAGGAACACCGGUGGCGAAAGCGGCGUGCUGGACCGGCAUUGACGCUGAGGAGCGAAAGCCAGGGAGCAAACGGG
rnacentral:rRNA from 1 species